rnacentral:lncRNA from 1 species
AAUGAUCUAUAUGAUGAUUCUUCUGUUUAUUGAGUAUGCUACUCAUACUAUUUGAAUCUCUAUGAUGAUUUGUACGAUGGUUCUUCUGCUUAUUGAGUAUGUUGCUCGUGUUAAUUGAAUCUCUAUGAUGAUUUGUAUGAUGGUUCUUUUGUAUGCUACUCAUACUAGUUGAAUCUCUAUGAUGAUUAGUACAAUGAUUCUUUUGUAUGCUACUCGUACUAGUUGAAUCUUUAUGAUGAUUUGUACGAUAAUUCUUCUAUUUACUAAGUAAGCUGCUCGUACUAGUUAAAUCUCUAUGAUAAUUUGUACGAUGGUUCUUCUGUUUACUGAGUAUGUUGUUCGUAUUAAUUGAAUCUCUAUGAUCAUUUAUAUAAUGGUUCUUCUAUUUACUGGGCAUGUUGCUUGUACUAGUUAAAUCUCUAUGAUGAUUUGUAUGAUUGUUCUUCUAUUUACAAAGUAUGCUGUUUGUUUGAUUUCUAUUGGAUAUGUAAUACCUUCGGUUUUGCCAAAUGUGAUAAAACAUGUCUGUAUAGAUGUUGAAUAAUGGUGCUAAUAACUUGGUUAUGUAACUGUUUCACCAGAUUUCCUUAAUAAAAACAAAAGAAUUUUAUGAAUGAUUAAAUGACUUCAUCCCACGAAAGUUCUCCAAGGUAAGAGGUAAUAAAAUAUUAUUCAAGUUUUUUACUUUUUAAAACUUAAUCGUGUAUUUUAAAUACUAUUUUUCUUACUAAAUUUAUAUGUAACUCAACCCUAAUCCCUGUCCCCCAGAUAUUCAAGAAGUUGAGGAUCGUCUCUCUCGAGUUAUCAUGAAGUUUGACUAGACCCAUUCAAGGAUCCUUGACAAUUCUUUAGGACAUAAUUUGAGUGUAAUAGUUAUUUGCACUCUGAUAUAAAAAUCCUAUACGAACUUUACUUUUUGUAUUUAAUACUUGGGAUUGCCAAUUAUGCCCCCUUAAUGUAAGUUCUUAAAACUUAGUUUAUUCUGUAAAGAAUUUCUAUUUUCUUCUUCAAUGUCAAAAAAAAUGUUUUUAGCACUCAGAACUACUUAGGUAAUUGGCCCCCUUUUACUCACUCGGUAUUAGGGAUGUUACACCGUGCAUAUAAAAAGAGGAACUUGGAACAAGGAAGAGACAAGCCUAGAGGAGAAGAAACUACAAAAAAGAAAGAGAAAUGUUGUGUUUGCGUGAAAAAAAAAAGAGAAGAAGAAAGAGAAGGAAGAGUGGAAAAAAGAGAGGUUGAAGAUAUAUAUAUAUAUAUAUCUAUGUAUAUAU